rnacentral:rRNA from 1 species
UGGGGAAUAUUGCACAAUGGGCGCAAGCCUGAUGCAGCCAUGCCGCGUGUAUGAAGAAGGCCUUCGGGUUGUAAAGUACUUUCAGCGGGGAGGAAGGCGAUAAGGUUAAUAACCUUGUCGAUUGACGUUACCCGCAGAAGAAGCACCGGCUAACUCCGUGCCAGCAGCCGCGGUAAUACGGAGGGGGCAAGCGUUAAUCGGAAUUACUGGGCGUAAAGCGCACGCAGGCGGUCUGUCAAGUCGGAUGUGAAAUCCCCGGGCUCAACCUGGGAACUGCAUUCGAAACUGGCCGGCUAGAGUCUUGUAGAGGGGGGUAGAAUUCCAGGUGUAGCGGUGAAAUGCGUAGAGAUCUGGAGGAAUACCGGUGGCGAAGGCGGCCCCCUGGACAAAGACUGACGCUCAGGUGCGAAAGCGUGGGGAGCAAACA